rnacentral:lncRNA from 1 species
GAUAGGUAGCACGCCAUCCGCUUCGUUUAUUUCAUUUAGAAAUAAAUUUAGCUGGAAAUGUGAAUCAACUAGGAUUCGAACUUGGGUCUCGGGUACCAACCACCAAACCCUUUGCCACUUGCUCUAGGGACGGUCGGUGUUUGGCCAAGAUUUUUAAAAAUAAGGAAAAACUUCAAAUACCAUCCCUAGCAUUUUUUUUUAUUUUAUUACCCUGUGAUUUAAAGUGUAUCAAUUUGGUAUUCAGUGAUUUAAUUUUUUUCUCUUUUUAUUAUUAAUUCUACUAAUUUUUUCAUUAAAUCAGUGACAAUGUUAAAACUAAAGGAUACUAAAAUAAAUAUUCGAUAAAUCUAAAUGGGGUAUUUGAAGUUUUUUUGUAUAUAAUUUAACAAAAUAUUAACGAAUAAGCCGAUGAAAAAAUAAAAAUGAAAUCACAUGGUACUAACUUGAUACACUUUAAACCACAUGAUACUAAAGUUAGAAAGUGCGAAAUCAUAGGAGUGGUACUUGAAGUUUACCCAAAAAAUAAAUUUAGAAUCAAAAGUGAUUUGUCACUCGUUUAGAGCUUUUAAUACUUUUUUUAAGGGUUAAUUAUCUAUCGCUAACCCUAACCCUAACCCUAACCCUAACCCUAACUUUGCUUUUGUUUUCUCCUAAGAGGUGUUUGGCCAAGAUUUUUAAAAAUAAGGAAAAACUUCAAAUACCAUCCCUAGCAUUUUUUUAUUUUAUUAUUCUGUGAUUUAAAGUAUAUCAAUUUGAUGCUCAGUGGUUUAAUUUUUUUCUUUUUUUAUUAUUAACUUUAUUAAUUUUUUUUGUUAAAUCAGUGACAAUGUUAAAAUUAAAGAAUACUAAAGUGAAUAUUCGAUAAAUCUAAAUGGGGUAUUUGAAGUUUUUUUUGUAUAUAAUUUAAUAAAAUAUUAAUGAAUAAGCCAAUGAAAAGAUAAAAAUGAAAGCACAGGAUACUAACUUAAUAUACUUUAAACCAUAUGAUACUAAAGUGAGAAAGUGCGAAACCACGGGACGGUACUUGAA